GCUCCCAUCUUACUAAAUGGAAUAGGUGGUCGCCCUCUCAAGGCGAAGAUGCCGGUUCGAGUCCGGCUGGGAGUACCA
rnacentral:tRNA from 1 species